rnacentral:ncRNA from 1 species
UGAAAGACAGAGAAAAAGAGGAGUACACAUCCAAAAUACGCAGAGAGAAGGAUUCAUUGGCUGAAAAAUCCUUUGUAGAAAGAAUGUGGAAGGUAGCUUUGGAGUUGCUUUGCUGAAGGGGAUUUCAGAAGAAAUUUCUGGGUAGGCAAAGCCGGGAGGUCCCGUUACAGACGAUAAAGUGUCCGUUUUUAGAAACGGGAAAUAAGGUGGUACCGCGAGCUUUCGUCCUUUGG